rnacentral:tRNA from 1 species
GGCGCUGUAGCUUAGUGGUUGAAGAGCCGGUCUCAUAAACAGGAGAUCCUGGGUUCAAAUCCCAGCAGUGCCU